GUGAGGAAUAUUGCGCAAUGGAGGCAACUCUGACGCAGCCAUGCCGCGUGCAGGAAGAAGGCGCUACGCGUUGUAAACUGCUUUUAACCGGGAAGAAACCCCAGGACGUGUCCUGGGUUGACGGUACCGGAGGAAUAAGCACCGGCUAACUUCGUGCCAGCAGCCGCGGUAAUACGAAGGGUGCAAGCGUUAUCCGGAUUCAUUGGGUUUAAAGGGUGCGUAGGCGGAGCGUUAAGUCAGUGGUGAAAUCCUGCAGCUUAACUGUAGACUUGCGAUUGAUACUGGCGAUCUUGAGUGCGGUUGAAGUGGGCGGAAUGUGCCGUGUAGCGGUGAAAUGCUGAGAUAUGGCACAGAACACCAAUUGCGAAGGCAGCUCACUAAGGCGAUACUGACGCUGAGGCACGAAAGCGUGGGGAUCGAACAGGAUUAGAAACCCGGGUAGUCC
rnacentral:rRNA from 1 species